ACACUCCUACGGGAGGCAGCAGUGGGGAAUAUUGCACAAUGGGCGCAAGCCUGAUGCAGCCAUGCCGCGUGUAUGAAGAAGGCCUUCGGGUUGUAAAGUACUUUCAGCGGGGAGGAAGGCGAUAAGGUUAAUAACCUUGUCGAUUGACGUUACCCGCAGAAGAAGCACCGGCUAACUCCGUGCCAGCAGCCGCGGUAAUACGGAGGGUGCAAGCGUUAAUCGGAAUUACUGGGCGUAAAGCGCACGCAGGCGGUCUGUCAAGUCGGAUGUGAAAUCCCCGGGCUCAACCUGGGAACUGCAUUCGAAACUGGCAGGCUAGAGUCUUGUAGAGGGGGGUAGAAUUCCAGGUGUAGCGGUGAAAUGCGUAGAGAUCUGGAGGAAUACCGGUGGCGAAGGCGGCCCCCUGGACAAAGACUGACGCUCAGGUGCGAAAGCGUGGGGAGCAAACAGGAUUAGAUACCCUUGUAGUCCCAUGA
rnacentral:rRNA from 1 species